GACAGAGGUGCCAAGCGUUAGGCGGAAUCACUGGGCUUAAAGCGUGUGUAGGCGGACUUGUAAGUACCUUGUGAAAUCCCACGGCUCAACCGUGGAACUGCUCGGUAUACUGCUUGUCUUGAGCCACUUAGGGGCUGUCGGAACAAACGGUGGAGCGGUGAAAUGCGUAGAUAUCAGGAAGAACACCAAUGGCGAAGGCAGCUCUCUGGGACGGUACUGACGCUGAGACGCGAAAGCGUGGGGAGCGAACAGG
rnacentral:rRNA from 1 species